rnacentral:rRNA from 1 species
GGGUCAGUAGGCUGGUCGUGCCACCGGUACGUACUGGUCUCACUGAUUCCUCCUUCCUGAAGAACCGUAAUGCCAUUAAUUUGGUGUUGCGGGAAACAGGACUGUUACUUUGAAAAAAUUAGAGUGUUUAAAGCAAGCUAACGCUUGAAUACAUUAGCAUGGAAUAAUGAAAUAGGGCGAUCGAUCCUAUUGUGUUGGUUUCUAGGAUUGACGUA